GACGAACGCUGGCGGCGUGCCUAACACAUGCAAGUCGAGCGGGGUGGUUCUGAAGGGCAACCGGAGGGAUCACCUAGCGGCGAACGGGUGAGUAACGCGUGGAUAACCUACCUCAAGGUCUGGGAUAACAGCUCGAAAGGGCUGCUAAUACCGGAUGUGGUGCAUAUGCUGCAUGGUAGAUGCACUAAAGGGGAAACCCGCCAUGAGAUGGGUCCGCGUCCCAUCAGCUAGUUGGUGGGGUAAAGGCCUACCAAGGCGACGACGGGUAGCCGGCCUGAGAGGGUGACCGGCCACACUGGGACUGAGACACGGCCCAGACUCCUACGGGGGCAGCAGUGGGGAAUAUUGCACAAUGGGCGAAAGCCUGAUGCAGCGACGCCGCGUGGGCGAAGAAGGCCUUCGGGUGUAAAGCCCUGUCUGAGGGACGAAGUAAUGACGGUACCUCCGGAGGAAGCCACGGCUAACUACGUGCCAGCAGCGCGGUAAGGCUACGUAGA
rnacentral:rRNA from 1 species